AAUAAAAGGUAUAGCUGUGUUUAAAUUUUUAAUUCCUAGAUUUUAUCUAAUCAGUUGAAUAUAUACGAUAUGGUUUUACCAUUCAAUGAAGCGAUGAACACAAAUUUCAGUCUCUACUUCUUUCUCUCCACUUAGAUAAUUCUUAAAUCUCUCAUAGCCUCUAUCACACCAAAUUACAGCAUAGCAUAAAUUGAAGCCUCUAUCACAGUAUUCGAUUUCUAAGGGCCUAGAAGGUAUCGUAGGAGUUAAUUACAGCGGAGUUGAGAUAAGUAAGCCUGUAAGCUUUCGGUGACAAGUUGAGUCUGGGCAGCAUGGGGUGUAUCUCGUGUGAUCAUGUAACUGCGUGUGGUCUUGGCCAUCUUCCGCUGAAAGUUUUUUUUUAAUUUAUUAAACUUAUCGAGGAUGUUGUCGUUUAAAUUUUCUAUUACUUUUCCCUAAGUGGUAAUACUUUAUUUUCAACUGGGUACCCA